rnacentral:misc_RNA from 1 species
GAUAGAUAUGCAAAUGAUAGUGUGUGCAAACUUUUAGUUGGAAACAAGUGUGAUCUAGUUGAGAACAAGGUUGUGGACACGCAAACUGCAAAGGCAUUCGCAGAUGAGCUUGAAAUUCCUUUCCUAGAGACUAGUGCUAAAGAUUCAAUUAAUGUGGAGCAGGCUUUCUUGACCAUGGCCGGAGAAAUUAAGAAAAAAAUGGGUAGCCAGCCAACUGCAAGUAAGUCAACAGGAACUGUUCAAAUGAAAGGGCAGCCAAUCCAGCAGAAGAAUAACUGUUGUGGUUAGCCAUUCACUUGUAUUUUUAAUCUUAUGUCUUAAGAUUGCUAAGACUUAAGUAUACCAUGAAUGUUGUUAUCAUAUGGAUCAAUCAGAUGUUGUCAAAUAUUCUAUGGUUGUCUGAAAAAUGAAAAUUCUUACAUUUCCUUUGAAGAAAAAUGGCUACUAUCAAGCUACUGCCGCUGUAAAUUCCAUACUUUAC